rnacentral:lncRNA from 10 species
CCGAAGCAGAGAAGCUCCUGCCCCUGGCUUAAAAAUUGACUAUCCUGGCUAAAAACAAAAUAUUCCCUUUGCUUCUUCAGAGAAGAUUCAACAGGAAGGACAAUAGCAUCUAGUGCCUCCAUUGAGAUUUUUUAAAAAUAAACUUUUUAUUUUGGAAUAAUUUCACUUUUACAGAAAAUUUACAAAUUAAUACGAAGAGUUCUCAUGUUCCCCUCUCCUAGUUUUCCCUAUUGUUAACAUCUUACAUCACCACAGUACGUUCAGAAAAACUAAGGAACAAACAUUGACAGGUUACUAUUGUUAGUUAAACUCUAUAAUCUUUAUUCAGGUUUCACUAGCUUUUCCAUGAAUGUCCCUUUUUCGGUUCCAGGAUUUCAUCCAGCAUAUCAGAUUACAUUUAGUUGUUGUGUCUUCUUAGUUAUAAUUUUCCAGUCUUUCCUUAUUUUGAUACUUUGAUAAUUUUGAGAAGUAUUGGUCAGGUACUUUAUAUAAUGUCCCUCCAUUUGGGUUUGCAAAGUAUUUUUUUCAUGAUUACACUGGGGUUAUGGGUUUCUGGGAGGAAGACCACCAAGGUAAAGUGUCCUCUCAUCACAACCUGUGGGAUGUACCCAGGUGCUGUCCACAUGAUUUACCUGUGGUUCCACCAUGAUUUGAAGGCAGAGGGCAGGCUCUGAGAAGCCUCCUACAGGAUGAGGGUCUUGAUUCAGAGUCCUUCCCUCUGGAUGCACAAGACCAUGGAUUGCUGAUCAAGAAGGACCCUGCAAAGCUGGAGAUGGGGUGGAGUGGGGCAGUGCUGCACAUGGGAAGAGCAACAGACUAGAAGCCAGGUCUGUCUGGCACUAGUCCUGACUUCACCGCUUCUGAGCUGCGUGAUGUUGAGUGAGAGUCUUUAACCUCCCUGGCCUCAGUUUCCUCAUUCACCAAUCAGUAUGUAACCCCUUCCCCUCCCUUCCUUCUAGGGUUGGCAACUGGAUCAAAUGACAUUAGAUUUGAAAAGACUUUAAAAAGUAUAAAAGACAGUACAUAGAUGGGAAGUCAGUCUUUAAGCCUGCUUUGGAUUUUCCAGCAUUUCAGCUCCAGCAGGAGGAGAAAGAUUUACUUUCUAUUUACUUAUCACUGUUAACAAGCAAACACAUACAAGUCAUAUGGGUGUGUGUGUGUGUGUGUAAUCUUUUAACUUUUUUAAAAGUCUGAUUUAUUGAAAUAUAUUUACAUAUAGUAAAAUUCAUCCUUCUUAUGUGUACAGUUCUGAGUUUUGACAAAAAAUACAAUCAUGUAAUCCUUACCACAAUUAAGAUAGAGAACACGAGACAUAGAAUACUUCCAUGACCUCUUCACCCCCAAAUUCCCUCACACUUCUGUCAUCAACCCAUUCCCCUACUCUUAGCCCCUGGCAAUAUUGACCUGUUUUUUGUUCCUAUUUUCUACAAUGUCAUAUGAAUUGAAUCAUGUUGCCUUUAUUGUUUUUAGUUCUAAAAACAACAUUAUUGAGGUAUAACUGAUAUACAAUAAAAUGCACAUACAAAAGUAUACAACACGUAAGUCUUGGUUAUGUAUACAUUUGUGAUAUCAUCCCCACAAUCAGGACAGUGAACAUAUACCCAUCACCCUAAAAGUGUCCUCAACUUCUACUGUCACUGCUUUUCAGCAAACUGAUGGUUCUCUGCAUGUACUCUGAGGCACAGUGCUCACUCCCACUGUUAUGCCCUCCUUCAGGUGGCUUUCUUUCCCUUAAGCUACCACCUGGCCCUUUUGAUCUCUCCAAAUCCUGCCCAUCCUUCAAGUCUACGCUUUAGCCCUCCCCACCACCCAAUGUCUAAAGGGUCCUUUAAAGUUAUCCUUUGAGAAUAAUUCAGCCCACACUUGCUACUUCCUUCUCUACUCCUAAUGUACUUACAGACAACCUCUCAUUGUGGUCUUUCUUUAUAUAACAGUGUUUGUAUCUUACUGUCCUAAGGUGAGUGGCCCAGUGUUUAGCAGCAUGGUCUCUGGGGUUAGAUAGUUAGGUUCAUAUAGUUAACCUUAGGCUCCUGUUUAACCUCUGUCUCUGUGUCAUUUUUCCUUAUCUGUAAAAUUAGGAAGACAAUACAGUAUCUACCACAAAGGGUCUUGUGAGGAUUAAUUGGGUUUAUCUGCAUAAAGCACUUAGAAAAGAAUCUUGUUAUACAGUAAGCACUUAAUAAAUGUCCACUGGCUUCAUCAGUACCAUUACCGUUGAAAGCCUUUUAACAGCAAAAACUACAACUCUCACUGUGUCCACAGUAGUGGGCUUGUGGAUGGAGCUCAGAUAUUUGUUGGGCUUUUGAUCAAGGGACCAUUCCAGUGAAUCAGAAAGUUCCUGUGACCACUUAACAUAUUACACGCUUGCUUGUGUACUGCUCUUAGAUGAUAUAAAAACAAAUCAAAUUCCCAAACCAAAAAGCUGCACUCUUUUGUCUGGGUAAAUACAGCUAUGACAUGUCUAUUUCCAUGGUUUAGAAUAUCACCAGUGGGAAUCUACUGUGGAAAAUUGAGUACAACACUAUCAUCAUAUGAUUUGUUUUGCUCAUAUUUGGCUGUGCCAUUGGCUGCGGAGCCAGGCAGCGAACUCCACACAAUGAGGAGCCUGUGAAAACGCAGAGAAGGCAAGAAAGGAUGCAAACAUUUAGGCAGCAUCUGAUGGUAGCUGGCUUGUGGUUUACCUGGCCUUUGGUUAGAUAACUGUGCCUGAUCCCUAUGGCCAGGAAGGAAGGAGCUGAAGAAUUCACAUUUGGGCUGAUGGGCCUGGGGUAGGGAUGACCAACAGACCACAUGCUUCUUGUCUCUUCUACUCCCUGAUCCUCUGAUAGACAGGGCUAAGUGAUCAUCCACUCCUUCCACCCUCCAGCCUCCGAGUGGGCCACUUUUCAAGCAUGGAAUUCCAGGAGGUGUAACACUAUGGACGAGUGGGCAACUGGCUCUUCAGGCUUGGAACCAAGAGGGGGCAGCAGAGAGCAGAGAAGAAUUGGUUGGCUUGGGCUGACCCAGACCUAGGAAAACUUCCAAUCUUCUUCUUCUUCCCUCAAAACCGAAUCCUUGUGGACUCACUCUUGAGACUAUUGUCCACACAAGUGGUGUGGUCCAAGGCCACAGCAAGAAAGGUCUGAGGGAGUUCUUUGGGGUUCAGGUGGAGAAAAGCCUGUGCUGGAUGCCAGGCUGCUCUGAGAACAGGAAGGAAGAUAAUAAUGUUAACAGCAACAGUUACAAUUACCCAGCCCCUGUAGGGUGCCAGGCCCUCUGCCAAGGUGCUUUCUUUUCAUUCUCUCAAAGACUACUUGAGGUGGGGAAACCCCCAGUUUACAGAUGAGAAAACAGGGUCCCAGAGUGGUUAAAUACCUUGCCCAUGAUCACGUGACUAAGGGAGGGCCAAGCCACAUUUUAGACUCUUGCCUGUCCUGCCCUCUGUGUUAUGGUGCCCUUCCAGGAAGGAGGCAGAAAGGUGCACCUGGAGUUAGAAUAUCCUUGGGGAGUGUCCCGGACCCAAGGGAAGGCAAACGGUCCUUCUGGUACAGACUGCUGUCUCCUGAUGGCCACGGGUCUCCUGACAGAUUUAGCCAAUUCACUGGCUCACAGGUCCAUGCACCAUCCUCAGCAGAGCCGGGGUAAGGUAGCUGGGCUCGAACAGCCCCAGAAAAAGGCAAAAAGAAAGAUAACAGAAACUUGUAUGGAACUUUCAAGUACUCACUGUGGAAGUCAUUGAUUUAUCUGCCUACUGUGAGAGUUAUGUCACGUUGGAAGGUCACAUUAGAACGCCCCUCACCUCCUGCAGCCUCAGCUCCACCCUGGGCUCAGAGAUCAAUCCUUGCCUUAUUUAGGGAAGCACAUCCAAGCAUAUUUGAAACUUUUGGGAUGGGCUUGGGGAUACUGGCACCAGGGACAUCUUGCUGUCAGUACUGUCCUGAUUCUGAGAACUCCACUAACGCCACAUUCCUCAAUCCAAGCCUGGAUCUGGGACUCAGGCUGCUGCCUCACUAAAUGCCUUAUCUUUUGGGUCACUGCAGACCAGGGCCCUGCCUUCUUUAGCCAAUGUCUGUUUCCCUCAUCUGGCAGUAGGACAUCAGUCUACCAAAAGAGUCACAUGUUCAUAUCCCAGCUUAGGUCCAAGUUGUGAACCAACUUCAUUUCUUAAUGUAAUCACUUUUUUGGUAUUGCUUUUUUUCUCUAAAAAGUAUGUAUAUUUUCUGAUCCUACAUGUAAUAUUUUCUGGGCCAGUUGCAGUGGCACACACCUGAGCUACUCAAGGAAGCUGAGGCGGGAGGAUCCCUUGAGCCCAGGAGUUUGAGGUUACAGUGAACUAUGAUUGCGUCACUGUACUCCAGCCUAGACAGCUAGCAAGACCCCAUCUCUUAAAAAAAAUUGUUAGAAAAUACUUUAAAGCAUCAAGGAGAAAAAAAUUUCUCCUAUCUUUCUGGAUACAUUUUUCUCAACUGCGCUUAUUACUAUCUAACACCGUCCUUUACUUAGGUUUUCAUUGUUUGUCUCCUUCUCUAGAAUGGGAGCUUGACAACAUGAGGGAUUUCAUGUUUUGUUCACUGCAAGUUCCUUAAUUCCCAGAACAAUACCUGGCACAUUUACAGAAUGAAUGAAUUAAUUCAUAAUGCCAUGACAUCAGAUAUAAUUUUAUUUAAUAUUAUAGAGGGAACAUUUUUCAAUGUCAAUAAAAUUUUUUCAAAAGCAUCAUUUUAAAUGGCUGAUAAUAAUCUAGGGUAUGGACAUCUAAGCAUGUGUUAAGUAUGCCUGCAGUUUUGGAUACUGAAAGAUUACACAGAUUAAUUUGAUUCCCCAUUUAUCAAGCUACAGCAGGGCCAGGCUCACUUUGUUGUUUGGUUUCUUAGUUUCUUGUUCCUGGUCGAAUGAACAGAUGAGACUGGUGAAUUAUGGAGAAUUUCUGUCACUGCCCUCUCUAGCCUUGGCAUAGCACUGUGGCUCCUCUCUCCAAAUUUCUAGGUGAUCCAGCCGGCUGGGCUCUAUGUACUGAAGCAUAGGCUGCCCAGCGUAAGCAGAAUUGCUAACAGGAUACUAUUAUGGUACCCACCUGUGUGGCCUUGUGGGGGUGGGGGAACUUACCUUUGUUCCUGUCCUCCUCUAGAAAAUCAGUUACAUUUCUCUUGCCUCCCUCCCAAGGAUGAUUUCCAGGGAAGCAAAUUAAAAAGCGGUGAAAAGCCUUUAACAAUUACUCAGAAAUCUAUCAUUUCAUCCUCUUUCACCUCCAGUUCAAGUUUAAGAACA